UACGAAGGGGGCUAGCGUUGCUCGGAAUUACUGGGCGUAAAGCGCACGUAGGCGGAUCUUUAAGUCAGGGGUGAAAUCCUGAAGCUCAACUCCAGAACUGCCUUUGAUACUGAGGACCUUGAGUUCGGGAGAGGUGAGUGGAACUGCGAGUGUAGAGGUGAAAUUCGUAGAUAUUCGCAAGAACACCGGUGGCGAAGGCGGCAUCCUGGACCGGCAUUGACGCUGAGGCGCGAAAGCCAGGGGAGCAAACGGG
rnacentral:rRNA from 1 species